CAUUAAGAAGCCAACGCGGUGCGGCGCCGGCCUUUUAAGCCGGAGUUUGGUGUCCAUCCCCCCACCCUUAGUGA
rnacentral:tRNA from 1 species